UACGAAGGGGGGCUAGCGUUGCUCGGAAUGACUGGGCGUAAAGGGCGCGUAGGCGGCUUGCACCGUCAGAUGUGAAAUUCCUGGGCUUAACCUGGGGGCUGCAUUUGAUACGUGUGGGCUUGAGUGCGGAAGAGGGUCGUGGAAUUCCCAGUGUAGAGGUGAAAUUCGUAGAUAUUGGGAAGAACACCGAUGGCGAAGGCGGCGACCUGGUCCGUGACUGACGCUGAGGCGCGAAAGCGUGGGGAGCAAACAGG
rnacentral:rRNA from 1 species